rnacentral:rRNA from 1 species
ACGGGAGGCAGCAGUGGGGAAUAUUGGGCAAUGGGCGAAAGCCUGACCCAGCGACGCCGCGUGAGGGAAGAAGAUCUUCGGAUUGUAAACCUUAGUCAACAGGGACGAAGAAAGUGACGGUACCUGUGGAGGAAGCCACGGCUAACUACGUGCCAGCAGCCGCGGUAAUACGUAGGUUGCAAGCGUUGUCCGGAUUUACUGGGUGUAAAGGGCGUGUAGGCGGAGCUGCAAGUCAGAUGUGAAAUCCCGGGGCUCAACCCCGGAACUGCAUUUGAAACUGUAGCCCUUGAGUAUCGGAGAGGCAAGCGGAAUUCCUAGUGUAGCGGUGAAAUGCGUAGAUAUUAGGAGGAACACCAGUGGCGAAGGCGGCUUGCUGGACGACAACUGACGCUGAGGCGCGAAAGCGUGGGGAGCAAACAGGAUUAGAUACCCUGGUA